CCCGCGGGCGCCGCACGCCAGGGGCAGGGCGCCCACCGCGCUCACGCUCCGCCCUCGCUUGCCCAGGGACGCUCCGCUGGCGGAUUUGGCGCGGCCUGGAGUGACGCGUCGGGGCGUCGGCGACCCCGGAAAGCCCGGCCGCGCCCCACCGGGGGUGCCUGCGCGCUCCCCCGACCCCGCCGUUGGCGAGGGCCCGGCAUCGGGCGGGCGGGGCCGGGGCCGCCGGCGGCCUGCACUGCCCAGCGGGAGAUCCGAGGUGACCUCCUGCCCGGGUCACGGGGGCUCUGAAACACAGGUGAUGGUUGGCAGUUCACGGUAGGACCUUGUUAUUAUGCCGCUAAAUGGCUCUAGGCGACAUCGGUGGCGUUUUUGUCUCUUCGGGUCCUUAAGUGUGGGAAUAGUGAUAAUAGGGCCGUGAAUCCAUUUUGGAUUAGAGGUUAAAUACGGUAGGGAUCUCCGUUUGGGACAAAACAGCCAAAACUGCAGGUAAUUUUGUCAUCUGCCCGGUGCUUCAUCCCCUGAAAGGAGCCCGUCCGAGGCCCACUGGCCCCCAGGCGCCGUGACCCCUGCUCUCCUGCUCCGGCCAGUACCCUCGAGGGAGGGGCCCCCCCGUCGGGGUUUCCGUGUGUCUGUAGGUGGUGUGCGGGCGGCACCGGUGCAGAAAGCCACGUCGCGCGUCCGAGUGAACGUGGCGCCUUGUCACGCCCAAGCGGCCUCUGCUUGGGACAGAAGCCGUGCGCCGGCCGGCCGGCCCCACGGCCGCCUGGGUUUCUGCUCCGGCACCGCACCGUGCUCCGUGCUCGUUGCCACCGGUGGGAGGGCCCGUGUGUAGAAAAGCAUGUUUUAGUUUAUCUUCAGUAGGGGGACGUCAGUGGCGCGUUCGGUACGGAAUCCUGCCGGGAGCCCUCGUCCCUUUCCGUCGCCGGUUUACCUUGCGGCGCUUGGAGCCUGUCUGCAGGUCAGGGGACGUCGGAAUCUUACCGUGAAAUGAAAGUGCUACGUGCAACUUUCUGUCACUUUGAGAGAAAGGAAAGGGAGCCUCCGAGCCUUCGAUCCGGCUCCUCGGCGGUAGGAAGUGGCAAAGGCCAGAGCAGCCCGGCACUUGAGAGCUGGUGUGAGCCCUGGGCCGCCGUGGCAGUAGAGGGCCGCGUCCCGUGAGCCGCACAGGGAGGCAGGUGCCACUCUCGGGCGCUCACACUCCACCUCCGCUCCUCUUCCCCAAUUCCUGGUUCUGGGCAAGCACGGCGGGCCGGAGGCUGCGGGGUUUAGGGGUCGGAAACCGAGCGGCGGGGAAGCGAGCGUGCCUGACCGUGCCCGUGUACGGCGGUGUUCCUGCCCAGCACGUGGCCGAGGCUGGAGAGACCUUCCCGCGCACCUGGCUGCUGGGGGCCCCAGGUGGUCUCGGCAGCUUUGCGCCAGGCCACACGGGGACGUCCUGGGCAGAGUGUGCCCCUGAUAGGAGGGAUACCCUGGUGUCAGAAGAUGCCUGUUGCCGCGUGUGCCCCCUUCUCCUGGAACACCCACGUGCCCAGAGUGGGCCUCAGAGCCCCGUUGUCGGGCGGCAGGAGACAUGCCUCUGGAAAGCAGGCACGCUGCCUCCGGGGACGCUGGUCUUGGGCUGCUGCUCCGUGAGCUCGAGGCGGAGGCUCUGAGAGUCCCGCGUGGGCUUGGCCGGGUCUCGUGAGGCGCGCUGCCCUCAAACGGAUCUGGGUUCGCCAUCGGGAGCGGGGAGCAGAGACGGUGAAAGGGGGAGAUGUGUGACGAUCGUGCUGCACACGCAGGUUUCAGAGAGUGUCACGGGCUGCAAGGCGGUGGCCGAGGUCUCUGGCCUGUGCCGAAGGGAGGGAGGGAGGGUGAUGCUCCUAGGAGACUCUGAAGUAAAUCUUUGGAGAGAAUCCCGGGCGGCUUCCCCAAACCUGGAGCUGCUUGUGAUAGAAGGGGCUCUUGUCUCUGCCGCUGACGUGUGCGACUGCUUUUGUUUUCUGGUGGUCUUUGUCCUUUUGAGAUAAUUCAGGGGGGACUGCUGUUCAGCGUCGUUCUGGUUUCCGUAGAAAUUGGUACGCGUCAGAGACUUGGGUGGCCUGCUUUUUGUGCAUUCGUUCUCGGAUUUAUCAGGAACGUUCAGUUGGGUAACCGAAUGUCUCUCGUAUCAGUUCAUUAGUGGCUUAUCUGCCAGUACUUACUUCAAAUACUGUUAGGUUCUAGGAAUUGUGAAAUCUGCCUCAGGUCCCCUGGCAGGAUUCUGUACCCUCAGCAGGCCACUGUCUUACUCAGUUCAGUAAACGAAGGUCCCAGAAAAUAAAGACUGACCAACAUGAGCUUCCUCCGCUGUGACCACCCACACCGUGUCCUGAUGCCCCCGUGCUCACCUGUGCACUCAGAGGCCACUGUAGUUGUAUUUUUUUAGUCCACUAGAGGGGGCUCUUCAGACAGCCUGUCAUCAGCAUGGACAGGUGCUCCGCAGCCAGGGUGUCCCAAGGUGGGGGUCCAUCAAAGGCGCUCAGACACAACCUCUAGCCCCCAGCAGCCCCGGUCCCCUUCAUUCUCUCUCCCAUUUUGUCCUGCCGGAGCUCCACUCAAGUCACCCAAGAGGCACAGCUCACCGGUGACAAAGCGUUCUAGGUCCUGCAGGGCCCGCCCCUGGGCUUUUGUCCUUGUCAUGCACCAGACAUCAUGCUGGCGUUUCAGACCAGCAUCCUUGCAAACCAGGGUCUGAGACAGAAUCUUCUGGUUACUGUUUCCAGACGGUCCUAAAACCACAGCAGCGCCCCUCAGCCACGGCCUCCCUUUCCGCAGUUUUGGUCCCACCGCACUCCGGCCACAGCAUCAGAAAGUCAGCGGCUGCCUGAUGGCACGUCGCACGCCCCUGUCAUUUACCUCCCCCACGUGACCACGAGAGGAGGAAGGGUGGGGAAGCUACAAGAGACACGCCGCGUCCAGACAGCUGUUCUCACAGCGUCACCACACUCGUCGUGUCUUACCGUUAGUUUCUGUUAACCUCUCCCUGUGCCUGACUUGUGGACGAGCCGUGUCGUAAAUGCACGUGUAGGGUUCGGGCGUCCACGGGGGGUUUGCACUGUACCUGCACGGAUGAGGGAGGGACUGCUGUAUACGCAUGUCUAGCAUGCCCCUUUCUGUUUCCAGUCAAGUCCUCGCCGAAUGGUUAUACUUUGCGUAUCGUGGUUUACACAGCGCUUUCUGCCAAAGCUCAGUGACCUCGCCGUGUGCUGUGGUUCAGACUGACGUGCUGGGCGCGCCCGCCCUCGUGUUCGUGCCGUGGCAGCAAUUCUGUGUCAUGCAUGAGACGGCGAGCUUUACUUUCUGGUACGGAUGCCAUGGUUUUGUGGAACGUGCAGGUUUGUUUCUGAUGAGUACGCGCGGUGGGCUCACACCUUUCCUGCCUGUACACAGCGGUCCUUUUCUUGAGAGGAAGUGGGGCCUCGGGCAUGGGCGUGCUGGUGUCUGGGGCGUUAAAGGGGGGCCCAUCCAAGCUAACCGGAGUGUCCCCGGGAGCCACGUGACCCUGAGAGUCCACGAGAUGCGUGCACCCUGGCGUCCAUCCGUGUGAACGGUCUCACCCAUUUUAUCGGUGGAGGAGUCACACGAUGCUGGGGCGCUGCCGGGUGGUGACCUCAGCCUGAGGCCGCACACCAGCACGUUCCCCCUCUGCCUCGAUGCUUUGCUCGGUGCGGGCCUCGGGCAUCAGGAGCGGCUUCCCACCCCCGAUGGCAGGUCUGCCCCGUCUGCCAGCAAGUUCAUAUUCUGAAUAAAAUAGGCACGUUGUCCAUUGGCUUCAAAAUGUUGAGAUGAAGCAGCUUUAUUCCAGAAGCUCCUCAGGACCCCAGCUUUGGGGGGACAUGCAGGUGUGGCUGUGACACGGUUUUAGUUGUGGUCGUGGUUGGUCAGUAAUGCACUCGUGUUUUGUCCAAAGCAGGACCCACAGGGUUAAUGGAGCUCUGUGCUCUGCCUGUAAGUCCUCGCAGGGCGUCGCGUCCCCGCGGGAGUCUGCAUCACAGCCUUGGGUUUCCAUAGGCAAGCUUUAGUCACGUGUGUGUUCGUUUGUUGUUUUUUUUUUUUUUAACAUUUAUUUAUUUUUGGGAGACAGAGACGGAGAAUGAGUGGGGGAGGGGCAGAGAGAGAAGGAAACAAAGAAUCCCAAGCCGGCUGGCUCCAGGCUCCCAGCUGUCGGCACAGAGCCGGACGUGGGGCCUGAACCCACAAACCGUAAGAUCAUGACUUGGGCCGAAGUUGGACGCUUAACCAGCUGAGCCACCCAGGCGCCCCACAUGUGUCUUCAUUUUAAGCAAACACAAAAGGGAAGUGCAGAAUGGAGGUCUCACUGUCCGUUCCGAGGCUGAUGAGCAGUUUUUAUGGUGGGACGUGUGGGCUGUGGCUUCAAAGUAAAAAAGUUCCAUCCUUCAAGUUAAAAUGUACAACAACUUAUUUUCAAAGUUAAAAGUUCAGUAUCCUAUUAAAACAAAAUUAGGUUAGAGUCAGAUAAGUAAACAAAGCGUUCGCCAUAU